UACCUGGUUGAUCCUGCCAGUAGUCAUAUGCUUGUCUGAAAGAUUAAGCCAUGCAUGUCUAAGUACAUGCCGAAAUAAGGCGAAACCGCGAAUGGCUCAUUAAAUCAGUUAUGGUUCCUUAUAUCGUUUCUUCCUACUUUGAUAACUGUGGCAAUUCUAGAGCUAAUACAUGCAGUGAGCCUGGAGCCCUUUGGGUAACGGGUGCUUUUAUUAGACCAAGAUCGAUCGGGUUUCGGCCCGUAUUGUGUGGUGACUCUGGAUAACUUUGUGCUCAUCGCAUGGCCACGAGCCGGCGACGUUUCUUUCAAGUGUCUGCCUUAUCAACUUUCGAUGGUAGGUUACUUGCUUACCAUGGUUGUUACGGGUAACGGACAAUCAGGGUUCGAUUCCGGAGAGGGAGCCUGAGAAACGGCUACCACAUCCAAGGAAGGCAGCAGGCGCGCAAAUUACCCACUCCCGGCACGGGGAGGUAGUGACGAAAAAUAACAAUACGGGACUCUUUUGAGGCCCCGUAAUUGAAAUGAGUACACUCUAAACCCUUUAACGAGGAUCAAGUGGAGGGCAAGUCUGGUGCCAGCAGCCGCGGUAAUUCCAGCUCCAAUAGCGUAUACUAAAGCUGCUGCGGUUAAAAAGCUCGUAGUUAGAUCUCAGUUCCAGACGAUUAGUGCAUCUACCCGAUGCGACGGCUCGGACUGAACAUCAUGCCGGUUCUUUCUUGGUGCACUUCAUUGUGUGCCUCGAGAUGGCCGGUGCUUUUACUUUGAAAAAAUUAGAGUGGUCAACGCAGGCGAGUCGCCUGAAUAAACUUGCAUAGAAUAAUAGAACAAGACCUCGUUUCUGUUCUGUGGGUUUUUGGAAUGCGAGGUAAUGAUUAAGAGAGACGGACGGGGGCAUUCGUAUUGUGGCGCUAGAAAUGAAAUUCUUGGACCGUCGCAAGACGAACUACCACGAAAGCAUUUGCCAAGAAUGUUUUCAUUGAUCAAGAACGCAAGUCAGAGGUUCGAAGGCGAUCAGAUACCGCCCUAGUUCUGACCAUAAACGAUGCCAACCAGCGAUCCGCCUGAGUUACUCAAAUGACUCGGCGGGCAGCUUCCGGGAAACCAAAGUAUUUGGGUUCCGGAGGAAGUAUGGUUGCAAAGCUGAAACUUAAAGGAAUCGACGGAAGGGCACCACCAGGAGUGGAGCCUGCGGCUUAAUUUGGCUUAACACGGGAAAACUUACCCAGCCCGGACACUGGGAGGAGUGACAGAUUGAGAGCUCUUUUUUGAUUCGGUGGAUGGUGGUGCAUGGCCGUUCUUAGUUGUUGGAGUGAUUUGUCUGGUUAAUUGCGAUAACGAACUAGACUCUAGCCUAUUAAAUAGGUGCGGGGUUCCCAGUACCUUACAACCUUCUAAGAGGGACAAGCGGCUCCUAGCCGCACGAAACAGAGCAAUAACAGGUCUGUGAUGCCCUUAGAUGUCCGGGGCCGCACGCGCGCUACACUGAAGGAAGCAGCGUGUCUUUAUCCCUGUCUGAAAAGACUGGGUAACCCGUGGAACUUCUUUCAUGAUUGGGAUAGGGGCUUGCAAUUGUUCCCCUUGAACGAGGAAUUCCCAGUAAGCGCGAGUCAUAAGCUCGCGUUGAUUACGUCUCUGCUCUUUGUACACACCGCCCGUCGCUACUACCGAUUGAAUGAUUUAGUGAGGUCUUCGGACCGAUGUUCGGCGCGGCGUUUCGGUUGCGCCGGUCUGUUGGAAAGAUGACCAAACUUGAUCAUUUAGAGGAACUAAAAGUCGUAACAAGGUUUCCGUAGGUGAACCUGCGGAAGGAUCAUUA